CAACUCCAUGUGCACUUCAGUUUCGAUCGAUCAUAUGUUUUCUUUGUGUAGUUUUUUCAGCCGCUGUAAUUCGAAUUGGUUAGAAUUUUCAUCGUUUAUGUACGCGAUAAUAAAUUCAUUAUUAGUUCUAACAGUGAUUUCCGGGCUCAGUAGAGUGUCGUUGUGUUAAAAUAUUUUUUUAGGACCGAAAUUAAGUGGUGCAUACAAGUGCAUUAUUGUGUGCACGUGCUUGCAUUCUUCAGGCUAAUUCCAAAGUUUCAGUUUUCAAACCGACUGAAAACUGUUGUAGUAUACAAAAGAACGUUUGUACCGCCUAUUUAACGCGUCGCAGUCGCGAAAUUUGCCGUUUUCACGUUAAAACGUGCAUUUGAAAGUGUUGCAGGAGAUGAUAGGUUGGAAUCCUCGUUUCGGUUAUUUUUUUCGUCGUGUUUUCUUCAUGGAUUAUUGUUUUGGGAUGUUUAACCUCAUGGAUGAAGUGCUAGUGAUAAAUGCGGCCAUAAUGAAAUACAUGUGCAAGUGUAAUUGUGCCACGGAUGGUUCAGUGCCGCAGUGUUGGAUAAAUAGUGAAAACGAUAUGUACAUAACAUGAGAUAAACGUGGCGAAUUUGGCGAGAACACGUCGUGUGAUUGGAAAACGAUAGAUUCAAAAAAUAUUCUUAUUGGUGAACACAUGAUCAAAUUCCAUGAGGGGUGUGUGUGUAGUAUGGAAAACUAUCGGAAAUGUUCCUCUAAAAAUACUUGAAGCCUCUUUUUAGUGUAAUUAAGGAUAUAUAUCAAAGUAAUCUGAUUUACACAAUGUGUUCACGUCAAAAGUUAUUGGUGUAAACAGUUUUAAAAAUGUGGUUAGUAAGUGUGCACAUUGGAUGCAGUGUUUUCCACGAGAUGGCGCUGCUCGGAUUGUUGCUGAGUAAGUGAGAUACUUGUUUAACCACCGUCUGCUAGAUGGCGUUGGUCCAUCGAGUUCAGUAGCCGAUAAACACGCACCGAUAACACGUACAGCUCAAGGCGUGAAAUAGCAUUUCCUGCUAUUACUAAACAUAUUGUUACUACCACCUGCCACCACUUACAGCAAUGAUUCAACGCAGCACGUCUGAUGCGGAAUCUAGUUCAUUUAACACCUAGCUAUCGCUGAAUGCAGUUAUCCUCAUCCGCCGCCACUUAGUUAGGAAGAUUGCGUUACAACUAUAUCGAUUACUCUCUUAUCCUAGAAACAUUUGGAAUACAACGAAAUACGCAGUCAACUGUUAUCAUCGUACUUGCGAAUAUUAUCUGUUCUAACUUCACACGUGAUAGUGCUUAACUGCGAUUUCGUUUGUUCUUGGGAUGCGUUGGUUUGUGACGCGACGUAGUCCAAUGUUGCCUUAAGAUUUAUUGUUACCGUCCACUAUUGUAAGAUUGCGGAGGAAACAGAAAAAAUGCUUCUUUAGUAUAUAAGUUUUGUGACUUUGAAACAAACAAUUGUGAUCUUGUCGUACGUUUUUCCGGUUUCCUUCGCGAUGUUUCACACUGUCACGCGUUUGUUUAGUUUUAUUAUUUAAGCUUUCACGUUGUACUUUAAUGUUUUGAAUACCAUUGACUAACAAACACUAAACAUUUCUAACGCAUGACCUUUAUUUUACAAUAUCAACUCGCGAGUGUGCAUGACGUCAACAGAUUAGUUUUAUAUUGUUCAUACUUGUCUUACAUUUGUUAUAAUAUUUAGACAAUCCGCUACUCUGACAUGUUCAUGUUUUACAAUAAUACGAUUGUUUAUUUACAUUAUAUUGAUUAUGUAAAUGUUUACUUCAACAAUUUGUUCCCGUACAAAUUUGGAGAUCUUUAUGCGAACACGUCGUACGCCUUGCUCCAUAAAACUUGAUUUUAGGUGUUUGUAGGUGUUACUUAAAUUCGAGUUUUAGUCAAUGCAUGGCAACACCCGGGUGAUUGCAUUCUAGUUUUUUGUCAGAUGAAAAAUUUGAUUAUGCAAUCUGUUUGAUUUAAUGAUGAUUAUGUUUAAUUUAAUUAUUUUAAUUCAAUAAACGUUUCGGCAUGA
rnacentral:misc_RNA from 1 species